rnacentral:lncRNA from 1 species
GUACAAGUAGGAAAGUCCUUGGUUUCUAUUUGAGCUCCUCCAUGGAGGGUCUACUCAGGGCCUUGGUAGACAUUACCUCUCUGCUGCCAUUUGUCCAGCACCUGGGACGGAAAAGAGUGAUACAGAGAGAUUGCACUUCAGUUGCCACCAACUUAAAGCAUUGAUUUCAGAACUGCCUGGAGCAACACACACCUUCCCAGUGCAGGAGCUAGAGUGGAUGAGUCUGGGGCCAGCAGAGGAAGCUCUUCUGCAGUGACUCAGGGCAGCUGGCAUAUUAAGUACCACUUAACAUUGUUGCUCAUUUCUUUGCAAGUACCAGGUAUGUGGGGUAACAGAAG